rnacentral:rRNA from 1 species
GACGAACGCUGGCGGCGUGCUUAACACAUGCAAGUCGAACGGAAAGGCCCUGCUUUUGUGGGGUGCUCGAGUGGCGAACGGGUGAGUAACACGUGAGUAACCUGCCCUUGACUUUGGGAUAACUUCAGGAAACUGGGGCUAAUACCGGAUAGGAGCUCCUGCUGCAUGGUGGGGGUUGGAAAGUUUCGGCGGUUGGGGAUGGACUCGCGGCUUAUCAGCUUGUUGGUGGGGUAGUGGCUUACCAAGGCUUUGACGGGUAGCCGGCCUGAGAGGGUGACCGGCCAGAGGGGGCAGGCGUCACGGCCGAGACGCCGGCGGGGGGCAGCAGUGGGGGAUAGGCAGCAAGGGGGGCAGGCCUGAUGGAAACCGGGGGCGUGGGGGAGGGCGUCGGGGGGUUUGUCACCGGUUGCGCCUGGGGGCGAGGGGCGGGUGCCGUUAAGGGGUACAGAAGCCCCGGCUACAUACGGGCCAGCAGCGGCGGUAACGGUGAAAAGCAAAGGUCUGAGC